UAAACGUACAUAUGAUCUCUUCUGCUAGUAUAUAAGAUGAUAAUAA
rnacentral:guide_RNA from 1 species